rnacentral:sRNA from 1 species
UUGCGCAAGUCAUGUUUAUUCGAGCAAUGUUCGCAAUCCUGUGUCGUCGCCUCGGGCCUAUGCUUAUCACCAGAAUCACUGCCCGGACCCGUGGCCUGUCUCGCCAGUACGUUCACCAUCGAGACAGCCACCCCAGUCCAGUGCGGCCCGCCGAAUCAGGCCAGCCGCGGCCGACAAUCCCACAGGGUUGCGCCGGCCACCGGGCUACACGCUGUCCAGAAGACGGUGUGAGGUGAGCCGGCGUCAAAAGCGUCGAGCACGGACGAAGUUUUCAAGGGGAGGCCGACGGGUCUCCCU